rnacentral:misc_RNA from 1 species
UUCCCUUUCAAAGAAGAAGAAAAAAAAAAUCACUCAUAAAAACAAAAAAAAAAAAACAAAAUCAACCAAAUGAAUGAAGAUUCUUGCUCAACCCAUUAGCAUUAGAGAAAAAACCAACCACGUCCUGUCUAUACGGCAAGAAGGACCGCCGUUUAUGAUCCUCUUCCUUGAGGGCUCUGUUCUUCGCGUGAUGCUCCUUAACCAUUGCUUUCCCGUCCUUGUCUUUCUCUUUGUUCUCUUUACCUUCAUCCUCUAUUACUCUUUCACUGCUCUUCUUCACCGGCGUCAAGAACACGAAGGUAUCUUUUCCAUCGCUAUUACUCCUGUAAAGCAAGUCUCGAAACUUCCAUCUCUUCGAAGACCCAGUGGAGCUGCUUUUCUUGCACUUUCCGGGGGUUUCCUUUCCCUUCUUUGGAGUCCACACGCAGUAAGUCCCAGCAGGCACAGUUUCCAGCUCGUCGGCCUCCGAAGACGAGCACGACGUCGUUUCUCGCUCUUCACUGAAGAGUUUCCUCAAUGGUAAUCUGAUGGGUUUGGGGGUUUGGUUGUCGGAGACAGCGGAUGAUGGUUUGGAUAAUUCUUCCCGGUCGUCUGUCAGCAACGCUGUGUUGAAUACCGGAUAGAAUGGCCUUAUCUGGCCGUUAUAGAAGAUCUCAUCAGCUGAAAUGGGCGACGCGUCCGGCUCUGUACACAAAAUUGCAAACUCGAACUCUUCCUCGUCAUCAUCGCCGCGUCCGAGUUUCUUGUGUUCUUCUCCUUCUUGUAUUGGCGGUGACAAAAGUCCCUCUGGCUUCCAAGAGAAAAGGGUGGAGUCAUCUUCGGAUUCAUUAGAGAAUUCUUGAACGACUCUAGCUGCAAUCUCAGCGAGCUUCCCAGAAGAAUAAGAGUUGAAGCUGGGGGAGCUUGGAGAGAGGGCGAUGAGUGAUGCCUGCAUCUGCAGCAGCUUUUCAAUGGCGAUACACAAAUUUUGGUGUAUUCUUUGAGAGAGAAAUAGUGCCCCAAAAGGUUUUGGCUUAAAAUUAAUCAGAAACCAAAAUCGGUUCGAUGGGCUUCUCUAGGAUUUGU